rnacentral:rRNA from 1 species
UACAGAGGUCCCAAGCGUUGUUCGGAUUCACUGGGCGUAAAGGGUGCGUAGGUGGUCGGGUAAGUCUGAUGUGAAAUCUUCGAGCUCAACUCGAAAAUGGCAUUGGAUACUAUUCGGCUGGAGGGUUGGAAGGGGGACUGGAAUUCUCGGUGUAGCAGUGAAAUGCGUAGAUAUCGAGAGGAACACCGGUGGCGAAGGCGAGUCCCUGGACAAUUCCUGACACUGAGGCACGAAGGCCAGGGGAGCAAACGGG